AUUGAACGCUGGCGGCAGGCCUAACACAUGCAAGUCGAGCGAGCGGCGGACGGGUGAGUAAUGUCUGGGAAACUGCCUGAUGGAGGGGGAUAACUACUGGAAACGGUGGCUAAUACCGCAUACCAUCGGAUGUACCCAGAUGGGAUUAGCUAGUAGGUGGGGUAACGGCUCACCUAGGCGACGAUCCCUAGCUGGUCUGAGAGGAUGACCAGCCACACUGGAACUGAGACACGGUCCAGACUCCUCCGGGAGGCAGCAGUGGGGAAGAUGGCACAAUGGGCGCAAGCCUGAUGAAGCCAUGCCGGGUGUAUGAAGAAGGCGUUCGGGGUGUAAAGGACUUUCAGCGGGGAGGCGGUAUCCGCAGAAGAAGCACCGGCUAACUCCGUGCCAGCAGCCGCGGUAAUUC
rnacentral:rRNA from 1 species